GACGAACGCUGGCGGCGUGCUUAACACAUGCAAGUCGAACGGAAAGGCCCUGCUUUUGCGGGGUGCUCGAGUGGCGAACGGGUGAGUAACACGUGGGUAACCUGCCCUUGACUUUGGGAUAACUUCAGGAAACUGGGGCUAAUACCGGAUAGGAGCUCCUGCUGCAUGGUGGGGGUUGGAAAGUUUCGGCGGUUGGGGAUGGACUCGCGGCUUAUCAGCUUGUUGGUGGGGUAGUGGCUUACCAAGGCUUUGACGGGUAGCCGGCCUGAGAGGGUGACCGGCCACAUUGGGACUGAGAUACGGCCCAGACUCCUACGGGAGGCAGCAGUGGGGAAUAUUGCACAAUGGGCGGAAGCCUGAUGCAGCAACGCCGCGUGCGGGAUGACGGCCUUCGGGUUGUAAACCGCUUUCGCCUGUGACGAAGCGUGAGUGACGGUAAUGGGUAAAGAAGCACCGGCUAACUACGUG
rnacentral:rRNA from 1 species